GACGAACGCUUUUGGCGUGCUUAACACAUGCAAGUCGAACGGAAAGGCCCUGCUUUUGUGGGGUGCUCGAGUGGCGAACGGGUGAGUAACACGUGAGUAACCUGCCCUUGACUUUGGGAUAACUUCAGGAAACUGGGGCUAAUACCGGAUAGGAGCUCCUGCUGCAUGGUGGGGGUUGGAAAGUUUCGGCGGUUGGGGAUGGACUCGCGGCUUAUCAGCUUGUUGGUGGGGUAGUGGCUUACCAAGGCUUUGACGGGUAGCCGGCCUGAGAGGGUGACCGGCCACAUUGGGACUGAGAUACGGCCCAGACUCCUACGGGAGGCAGCAGUGGGGAAUAUUGCACAAUGGGCGGAAGCCUGAUGCAGCAACGCCGCGUGCGGGAUGACGGCCUUCGGGUUGUAAACCGCUUUCGCCUGUGACGAAGCGUGAGUGACGGUAAUGGGUAAAGAAGCACCGGCUAACUACGUGCCAGCAGCCGCGGUGAUACGUAGGGUGCGAGCGUUGUCCGGAUUUAUUGGGCGUAAAGGGCUCGUAGGUGGUUGAUCGCGUCGGAAGUGUAAUCUUGGGGCUUAACCCUGAGCGUGCUUUCGAUACGGGUUGACUUGAGGAAGGUAGGGGAGAAUGGAAUUCCUGGUGGAGCGGUGGAAUGCGCAGAUAUCAGGAGGAACACCAGUGGCGAAGGCGGUUCUCUGGGCCUUUCCUGACGCUGAGGAGCGAAAGCGUGGGGAGCGAACAGGCUUAGAUACCCUGGUAGUCCACGCUGUAAACGGUGGGUACUAGGUGUGGGGUCCAUUCCACGGGUUCCGUGCCGUAGCUAACGCUUUAAGUACCCCGCCUGGGGAGUACGGCCGCAAGGCUAAAACUCAAAGGAAUUGACGGGGCCCCGCACAAGCGGCGGAGCAUGCGGAUUAAUUCGAUGCAACGCGUAGAACCUUACCUGGGUUUGACAUGGAUCGGGAGUGCUCAGAGAUGGGUGUGCCUCUUUUGGGGUCGGUUCACAGGUGGUGCAUGGCUGUCGUCAGCUCGUGUCGUGAGAUGUUGGGUUAAGUCCCGCAACGAGCGCAACCCUUGUUCACUGUUGCCAGCACGUUAUGGUGGGGACUCAGUGGAGACCGCCGGGGUCAACUCGGAGGAAGGUGGGGAUGACGUCAAGUCAUCAUGCCCCUUAUGUCCAGGGCUUCACGCAUGCUACAAUGGCUGGUACAGAGAGUGGCGAGCCUGUGAGGGUGAGCGAAUCUCGGAAAGCCGGUCUCAGUUCGGAUUGGGGUCUGCAACUCGACCUCAUGAAGUCGGAGUCGCUAGUAAUCGCAGAUCAGCAACGCUGCGGUGAAUACGUUCCCGGGGCUUGUACACACCGCCCGUCAAGUCAUGAAAGUUGGUAACACCCGAAGCCGGUGGCCUAACCGUUGUGGGGGAGCCGUCGAAGGUGGGACUGGUGAUUAGGACUAAGUCAU
rnacentral:rRNA from 1 species